UCGUUGUCUUGACCUUGCCAAAUAAUUUAUUUGUUUACAAAGUCAAACAGACAUAGAACUCAAUUUUCAAUAUAGGGCUAAGUCAAUGGAACCAUCCGAGGUGACACACUUGCUCGCUCCUACCUUUUGCUCUUUAUAUUCUAAUUUCAAAUAUUAUAAUAAACAUGUCACGUUCUUCUAAUUCAAGAAGAAAAAAAUUGAAUUUUAUAAUAACACAAAUUUAAUUGGCCCUGGAAAAAAAAAAUUAAAAAAAGAGUAAAAUUUAAUUGGACCUCUACCCUUUAGUUAUUGUCU
rnacentral:lncRNA from 1 species